rnacentral:rRNA from 1 species
CGGGAGACACACGGCGGGUGCUAACGUCCGUCGUGAAGAGGGAAACAACCCAGACCGCCAGCUAAGGUCCCAAAGUCAUGGUUAAGUGGGAAACGAUGUGGGAAGGCCCAGACAGCCAGGAUGUUGGCUUAGAAGCAGCCAUCAUUUAAAGAAAGCGUAAUAGCUCACUGGUCGAGUCGGCCUGCGCGGAAGAUGUAACGGGGCUAAACCAUGCACCGAAGCUGCGGCAGCGACGCUGAUGCGUUGUUGGGUAGGGGAGCGUUCUGUAAGCCUGCGAAGGUGUGUCGUGAGGCAUGCUGGAGGUAUCAGAAGUGCGAAUGCUGACAUAAGUAACGAUAAAGCGGGUGAAAAGCCCGCUCGCCGGAAGACCAAGGGUUCCUGUCCAACGUUAAUCGGGGCAGGGUGAGUCGACCCCUAAGGCGAGGCCGAAAGGCGUAGUCGAUGGGAAACGGGUUAAUAUUCCCGUACUUGGUGUUACUGCGAAGGGGGGACGGAGAAGGCUAUGUUGGCCGGGCGACGGUUGUCCCGGUUUAAGCGUGUAGGUGUGUGUUCCAGGUAAAUCCGGUUCACUUUAACACUGAGGCGUGAUGACGAGGCACUACGGUGCUGAAGCAACAAAUGCCCUGCUUCCAGGAAAAGCCUCUAAGCAUCAGGUAACAUCAAAUCGUACCCCAAACCGACACAGGUGGUCAGGUAGAGAAUACCAAGGCGCUUGAGAGAACUCGGGUGAAGGAACUAGGCAAAAUGGUGCCGUAACUUCGGGAGAAGGCACGCUGACAUGUAGGUGAAGUGAUUUACUCAUGGAGCUGAAGUCAGUCGAAGAUACCAGCUGGCUGCAACUGUUUAUUAAAAACACAGCACUGUGCAAACACGAAAGUGGACGUAUAC